GAUGUAUAGACAUGAGAAACAUGUAUUGAUAUUGGCAUACAUAAUGCAUAAAGUGUUUUGUUAGGCUUUUUAUCGUUGAGGGAGUUUCUGUUUCUCCCCCAUCUGGUCUGAAAAGACAUGAGAGGAUUGCUCCCUGUGGAUGACAGCAUACCCUCUAACAAGAGUGGUAAUGCGAUAUGAUUGUAGGGGUCACCUUGGGUGAAGUACGGUCGUAGCCAUAGUUAACAUGUAGGAC
rnacentral:lncRNA from 1 species